UAUUGCGAGUUUUUGCUCGCUCUCUGAGUCCGAGCUAAAUGACUUCCAUCGUGCCUUCGUUACAACGACAACUCGUCGCUGAGGAUGCGGUACUCCCUCAAAUAGGAUUACGAUUUACUUGACUUUCGGACGCCACCCUGUGUGCUGUUGAUGGGUUUUCAGCUUUGUGGCUGCAGUCACGGCCUAACUGUUCUUCGUACAAUUUGGGGAUUCCAGACAAACAGUUGACGGCGCUUUGCAAACUGCCCUCAGCCAGUGACGGCAUCCUCUCAGAACCAUACUUAUCUGGCCCAUCUCCUGGGAAGAAGAAAGCGAAUAUGGUUCAAGUUUCCAUCAGACAUGUAAUUAUUCUGCUGCUGAGCCUGAGCAUUAUGCUCUGUGCUCAUGCACAACUACCUGGUGGUGGACCACUUCAAGAAUUCCAUGCACCUGGCUCCAAUGUAGCGGGUGUAACAUGCAACACUACCGACCCGAAUACGGUACGAUUUGUACACCUAGGUGUUGGCGGCAGUAGUGUGCCACGACUGGUUCCUUUUUACAAUGCUUCUGAUCCCACCCAAACUGAGUACCAGCGCUUGAUUUCGAAUUCAAGCAGCAACUUCAUCUACCAGCUUCACAUUAUCAAUUAUGACGGAGUGCGAGCAGUCUUCGCGUGUGGAUCAGUAGCAUUACUUGCCCAUAAUCACUAUAUCAUUGAACU